UACGAAGGGUGCAAGCGUUACUCGGAAUUACUGGGCGUAAAGCGUGCGUAGGUGGUCUCUUAAGUCCGUUGUGAAAGCCCCGGGCUCAACCUGGGAAUGGCAGUGGAUACUGGGAGGCUAGAGUGCGGUAGAGGGUAGUGGAAUUCCCGGUGUAGCGGUGAAAUGCGUAGAGAUCGGGAGGAACACCAGUGGCGAAGGCGGCUACCUGGACCAGCACUGACACUGAGGCACGAAAGCGUGGGGAGCAAAC
rnacentral:rRNA from 1 species